CGAUCUUAUACCUACUUAUGGGGCAAGACCGAACAAGAGGUCAAAAUUGUACAGAACAUUCAUUUGUCCUAAUAAGGUGGAAGUUCGAAUUCCGGUCUUCCCCAAUGAGAAUAAAAAUGGUCUGUGCAAACGAUGGCAGUAAUUUAGUAUUUUAUUUAAGUCAGUAUAUAACAAGAAAUAAUGUAAUGCUUAUGAACAAAACUGGACAUAAAGGAAAGUCCCAUUAUA
rnacentral:lncRNA from 1 species